CCUACGGGAGACAGCAGUGGGGAAUAUUGCACAAUGGGGGAAACCCUGAUGCAGCGACGCCGCGUGAGUGAAGACGUAUUUCGGUAUGUAAAGCUCUAUCAGCAGGGAAGAAAAUGACGGUACCUGAUUAAGAAGCCCCGGCUAACUACGUGCCAGCAGCCGCGGUAAUUCGUAGGGAGCAAGCGUUAUCCGGAUGUACCGGGUGUAAAGGGAGCGUAGACGGCAGCACAAGUCUGGAGUGAAAUGCCGGGGGUUAACCCCGGAUCUGCUUUGGAAACUGUGCAGCUAGAGUGCAGGAGGGGUAAGUGGAAUUCCUAGUGUAGCGGUGAAAUGCGUAGAUAUUAGGAGGAACACCAGUGGCGAAGGCGGCUUACUGGACUGUAACUGACGUUGAGGCUCGAAAGCGUGGGGAGCGAACAGGAUUAGAUACCCGGGUAGUC
rnacentral:rRNA from 1 species